rnacentral:rRNA from 1 species
GUGGGGAAUCUUGCGCAAUGGGCGAAAGCCUGACGCAGCCAUGCCGCGUGAAUGAUGAAGGUCUUAGGAUUGUAAAAUUCUUUCACCGGGGACGAUAAUGACGGUACCCGGAGAAGAAGCUCCGGCUAACUUCGUGCCAGCAGCCGCGGUAAUACGAAGGGGGCUAGCGUUGCUCGGAAUUACUGGGCGUAAAGGGCGCGUAGGCGGACAGCUUAGUCAGAGGUGAAAGCCCAGGGCUCAACCUUGGAAUUGCCUUUGAUACUGGCUGGCUUGAGUUUGGGAGAGGUGAGUGGAACUCCGAGUGUAGAGGUGAAAUUCGUAGAUAUUCGGAAGAACACCAGUGGCGAAGGCGACUCACUGGCCCAAUACUGACGCUGAGGCGCGAAAGCGUGGGGAGCAAACAGGAUUAGAAACCCGUGUAGUCC